rnacentral:rRNA from 1 species
UACGUAGGCGGAAAAUUAAGUCAGUAGUGAAAUCCUGCAGCUCAACUGUAGAACUGUUAUUGAUACUGGUUUUCUUGAAUAUUGUUGAGGUAGGCGGAAUGUGUAAUGUAGCGGUGAAAUGCUUAGAUAUUACACAGAACACCGAUUGCGAAGGCAGCUUACUAAGCAAUUAUUGACGCUGAGGUACGAAAGCGUGGGGAGCGAACAGGAUUAGAUACCCUGUUAGUCC